GAACGAGGGGUGAGAGGUCAAGGGGUUAGACAGCUGCUAGCUGGACAUCUAGUGUCAGCACUAUGUCUAUAGACACAGAGGUCAGGGGUUAGGGGUGGCCUUGGUCUGCUAGCUGGACAUCUAGGGUCAGCACUAUGUCUAUAGACACAGAGGUCAGGGGUUAGAGGUGGCCUUGGUCUGCUAGCUGGACAUCUGGGGUCAGCACUAUGUCUAUAGACACAGAGGUCAGGGGUUAGAGGUGGCCUUGGUCUGCUAGCUGGACAUCAAGGGUCAGCACUAUGACUAUAGACACAGAGGUCAGGGGUUAGGGGUGGCCUUGGUCUACUAGCUGGACAUCUAGGGUCAGCACUAUGUCUAUAGACACAGAGGUCAGGGGUUAGAGGUGGCCUUGGUCUGCUAGCUGGACAUCUAGGGUCAGCACUAUGUCUAUAGACACAGAGGUCAGGGGUCAGGGGUUAGGGGUGGCCUUGGUCUGCUAGCUGGACAUCUAGGGUCAGCACUAUGUCUAUAGACACAGAGGUCAGAGGUUAGAGGUGGCCUUGGUCUGCUAGCUGGACAUCUAGGGUCAGCACUAUGUCUAUAGACACAGAGGUCAGGGGUUAGAGGUGGCCUUGGUCUGCUAGCUGGACAUCUAGGGUCAGCACUAUGUCUAUAGACACAGAGGUCAGGGGUUAGGGGUUAGAGGUGGCCUUGGUCUGCUAGCUGGACAUCCAGGGU